GAUGAAGAACGUAGCGAAAUGCGAUACUUGGUGUGAAUUGCAGAAUCCCGUGAACCAUCGAGUCUUUGAACGCAAGUUGCGCCCGAAGCCACUAGGCCGAGGGCACGCCUGCCUGGGCGUCACACGCCGUUGCCCCCCCAUCUACUCCUUCGGGAUUGCGGGGGGGCGGAUGAUGGCCUCCCGUGCGCCUAGCCGCGCGGUUGGCAUAAAUACCAAGUCCUCGGCGACGCACGCCACGACAAUCGGUGGUUGCGAAACCUCGGUUGCCCGUCGUGUGCGUUCGUCGCGCAUCGAGGGCUCGAAAAAAUGCUCGGCUCCGGCUGGGCUUUCAACGCGACCCCAGGUCAGGCGGGGUUACCCGCUGAGUUUAAGCAUAUCAAUAAGCGGAGGA
rnacentral:misc_RNA from 1 species